GCGAAGCGACAGAUGUCAGGUCCCACGAGGAAGAGACGUGCGUCGCGCAAGUUGGUACCCAUAACCAUAUGUAAGGUUACCCGACGCGGCGUUAGCGUUCGUUUCCCCAACCAGGAAACCACAGAAACUUCUCGACCGUCGAAGCUUUUCUAUUUCUCGAUUUUUGGAACAAUAUCAACGGUCGAGAGAGCUCAAUCGCGAUCGAGGAGGGUGCGUUUAUAUAUACUUGAGGGAGACACUUCAGGUUCGGUAUGAGCGGAGGGCGGGGAAGAAGCGAUGAGACUUCAAGAAUUCGGCAGGGAAGAAGGGAAUCAGCGAUGUGGGGGAGAGAGAGAGAGAGAGAGAGAGUGUGUGUGUGUGUGUGUGUGUGUGUUAGGUUAGGUUCGGGCGUAGCGAGGGAGAAGGCGAUGAGGGAGCGUGAACGAGAUACUUCCCCGAUCGCCGGUUCCUUGUCGUGAUCCUUUUCGUAUACCUCCUGGAGCAACCGGUAGGCUCGCGGUCUCCGCUAUCGGUCGGCGAUGUCCGAAACGCCGUUCCUGAGGGCAAGAUCGAGUUCCGCGAGGGCGACAGUCGGAUCACCAUAUCCAGUGUCCGAGUCCACGCCGACAUCGUCGUCCUCGGGCCACAGAGUGCUGGGAUUACGAAUCCCUCACCGUUCAGGGGGUCCAGGUGAGGCUGCUGAUCCAAGGCACUUUGUGCUGAUGGUGUGGCCAACAUUUAGCCACGCUUGCGCGCUGUUUAUUAGAUCUGUCGCAAUUCUGGUCCAAUGCUUCCAUGCUGUUUUUCUAGUUUUAGGCAUGAUUUCUUUUUCAUAUUUUUUGCUUCGUAGUUUUCGUUAUGCGGGCAACUCCAGGGAAACCACUAGCAGUCGAUAUUUCCAUCUGAUUGUUAAAGAAAUUACAAUUUAAUGAUUAAUUUAAAAAUAUAUUAAAUGGUUCAUCUAAAACUUAUUUUACA